CAGAGUUUUCUAAACUCCCAACCCAUGUGUAUCUACUAUUUUGUUGCCUCGGCGGGUUCUGCUCCCUUGCGGAACAGGCCAAAGCCCGCCGGCGGCCCAACUAAACUCUUGUAUUAUUGUCAUCUGAGAGUUAUUUUUAAAAUAAGUCA
rnacentral:misc_RNA from 1 species